CAGUUGCCAUCGGUAAGGCCGGGCACUCUGGAUGGACUGCCGGCGACAAGCCGGAGGAAGUGGGGACGACGUCAAGUCAUCAUGGCCCUUAUGUCCAGGGCGACACACGUGCUACAAUGGCCGGCACAACGGGAAGCGAAGGGGCGACCCUGAGCGGAUCCCACAAAAGCCGGUCUCAGUUCGGAUUGCAGUCUGCAACUCGACUGCAUGAAGUUGGAAUCGCUAGUAAUCGUGGAUCAGCCAAGCCGCGGUGAAUACGUUCCCGGGCCUU
rnacentral:rRNA from 1 species